UCUCCCGGUCAAAUAAAUAAAUAAAUAAAUACAUUGAAAUGAGGUUAUGUCUUGUUAAAGACACUUUUAAAUAUCGAGUAAUGUUUUUGCAAUGUAAAUCAAGUAAGAAAUACCGUUUUUGUAUUUAGAUACUUGUACUGUAAUGUAUUUAUUUUUAACUUCAGCGUACAGUGCAGUGUAUUAAUAUUAAAUAUCAAUCUCAUUAACACUCAGGCAGGACCAUUUCUGAUGUGUUAGACAGCGCUGCUACUGGGUAAUAAACUAAAACAAGCGCCCGUUCAAAUAAAGCGGGAGCGAAGAACCGUCUCUGAAAGAGGAUCUUGAAAAUGAUCAGAAUUGUGAAGGCGCCGCAUCUUCUUGCGCCUCUUAAUGCAUCCCUCGUGUCAGCAGCACUAUUGUACUGAAGCGGUAUACAGUACCGGUGCGCGGUUCUCUUUUCACCUGUUUAACUGUGUUACAGGGAGCGGUGCGGGUCCACUCUUCCUCUAUGGGUUGCUGGCGGCAGCUUCAUUUCUUCUGAUUACUCUGUUAAUUACACUGGUAAUAUGCUAUCGAAGACAGAAUAAACCAGAUGCGUAUUUGGCAAAUGAACCAUCGAUGUAUUCCGAGAUUCGCGUUACAGGGAGGGCGCCAGACAAACAAAUAGC